GCCUGGCUGGCUCAGUGGGUAGAGCAUGUGACUCUUGAUCUCAGGGAUGUAAGUUCAAGCCCCAUGUUGGGUA
rfam:Felis catus isolate Cinnamon breed Abyssinian chromosome A1, whole genome shotgun sequence.